AACCUCCACCUCCCGGGUUCAAGCUGAGGCAGGAGGAUUGCUUGAACCUUGGAGGCGGAGGUUGCAGUGAGCCAAGAUUGCGCCACCGCACUCCAGUGUGGGUGACAGGGCCAGACUCUGUCUCCAAAAAUAAUAAUAAUAAAGAUAUAAAUAAGAAUUUUUCCCUUGAGCGGGGGUCUGUGACCUCUUUGAGCUUUCCAACACAGCCCCAGGGAUUGGGAGCCCCUAGGUGAGAGCCGCUGGAAACUACAUUGUCACUAGCAGCUCAGGGGAGCUUGGGAUAGUUGAAGCCCCACACCUGGAGAAGCCCUGAGCCACAAAGGGUUGUACCUUGACAUCUUAACCCAGCUAGAGGCCUUGUGAAAUAUGAACGGCUGUAUCAAUGCCUGCCUUCAGUACCUUAUUAUUAUUAUUAUUAUUUUGACACAGAGUCUCGCAUUGUCACCUGGGCUGCAGUGCAGUGGCGCAAUCUUGGCUCACUGCAACCUCUGCCUCCCAGGUUCAAGCGAUUCUCCUGGUUCAGCCUCCUCAGUAGCUGGGAUUACAGGUGCUCACCACAACACCAGGCUAAUUUUUUUUUAUUUUUUUCUUGAGAUGGAGCCUUGCUCUGUGUCCCAGCUGGAGUGCAGUGGCACGAUUUCAGCUCACUGCAAC
rnacentral:lncRNA from 1 species